rnacentral:lncRNA from 1 species
GAAACUUUAUUUUCAAAUUCUUAAAACAAGGAAAGAGGCAGGGAGGAAGGGAAGGGAGGAAAACAAGGACAGAUGGAAGGGAGGAAGGGAAGGGAGGAAAACAAGGACAGACGGAAGGAAGGGAGGGAAGGAGGAGGGAAGAAGGAGGGAAGGAAGGGGAGCGGGAACAAGGCAGGCGGACGCAAGGAGGGAAGGAGUGUGCGUCUUCUUCGCAUGCUCCGCAGCAGCGAG